rnacentral:rRNA from 1 species
AUUGAACGCUGGCGGCAUGCCUUACACAUGCAAGUCGAGCGGGGUUUUCGGACCUAGCGGCGGACGGGUGAGUAAUGCGUAGGAAGCUGCCCGAUAGAGGGGGAUACCAGUUGGAAACGACUGUUAAUACCGCAUAAUGUCUACGGACCAAAGUGUGGGACCUUCGGGCCACAUGCUAUCGGAUGCGCCUACGUGGGGUUAGCUAGUUGGUGAGGUAAUGGCUGACCAAGGCGACGAUCUCUAGCUGGUUUGAGAGGAUGAUCAGCCACACUGGAACUGAGACACGGUCCAGACUCCUACGGGAGGCAGCAGUGGGGAAUAUUGGACAAUGGGCGCAAGCCUGAUCCAGCCAUGCCGCGUGUGUGAAGAAGGCCUUCGGGUUGUAAAGGACUUUUGUCCGGGAGCAAAUGCUGGUGGCUAACAUCCACCGGAGCUGAGAGUACCGGAAGAAUAAGCACCGGCUAACUACGUGCCAGCCGCCGCGGUAAAAC